CUCCGUAGGUGCCCUGCGGAGGGAUCAUUAC
rnacentral:rRNA from 1 species